UAUAUCUUCUCCCCAUCGCCGGUCCUUGGUCGAGGCUGACACCGCUGUGGAGACUGGACCCUGGACUGUUAUCUUGGCCCCAGAUGAGGCUAACCCCCCGGGGUUCUGCGCCGACCUACCUGUCUGGGCUGGGCUGAUCUGAGGUGUUAAAUGUAUUUGGCCAGAUGUCUGGGCUGUUUUCGUUGGGGGAAGUGCCAGGCAGGGCAUGUUCCUGCUGCUGGACGCCUUAUUUAAGGUUACACUGGGCCACUUCCCACGCAAAGAUGGGUUCGCAUUUUGCAGCAUAACGCGUCUGAAAAUUGUCCAAAUCUGGAAAUCGCAGGGGCAUCCUAAAGAGCGUGUAUGUCUCUAUCCAUUCAGAUCUGGAAAACAUGAUGAAUAUGAACGGGCUCAUCAUUCCUCUAUCUACUGGUUCAAGUCCCAGUUUCAUAUUCUACAUGAUGGAG